CAGCCGCCGCGGUAAUACCGAGGGUGCGAGCGUUAAUCGGAUUUACUGGGCGUAAAGCGUGCGUAGGCGGCUUCUUAAGUCGGAUGUGAAAUCCCUGAGCUUAACUUAGGAAUUGCAUUCGAUACUGGGAAGCUAGAGUAUGGGAGAGGAUGGUAGAAUUCCAGGUGUAGCGGUGAAAUGCGUAGAGAUCUGGAGGAAUACCGAUGGCGAAGGCAGCCAUCUGGCCUAAUACUGACGCUGAGGUACGAAAGCAUGGGGAGCAAACAGGAUUAGAUACCCGCGUAGUCCCUGUCUCUUAUAC
rnacentral:rRNA from 1 species